UACGGGGGGGACUAACGUUAUUCAUCAUAACUGGGCGUAAAGGGUACGUAGGUUGCUCGGUAAGUCUUGAUUAAAGAAUCUAAGCGUAACUUAGAAAUUAUUCUUGAUACUGCUGGGCUUGAGGUCGAAAGAGGUUAGUUAUAUUCUUGAAGUAAAAGUAAAAUCUUUAGAUAUCGAGAGGAUAACCAAGUGGUUAAUGCGACUUUCUGGUUCGAUGCUGACGCUGAGGUACGAAGGCAUGGGUAUCAAACGGG
rnacentral:rRNA from 1 species